rnacentral:rRNA from 1 species
AGCCGCUCAGAACUCAAGGAAUUGACGGGGCCGCACAAGCGGAGGAGCAUGUGGUUUAAUUCGAUGAUACGCGAGGAACCUUACCUGGGCUCGAACGUAAGAUGACUGUAGGUGAAAGCUUACAUCUCUUCGGAGCAUUUUACGAGGUGCUGCAUGGUUGUCGUCAGCUCGUGCCGUGAGGUGUCGGGUUAAGUCCCAUAACGAGCGCAACCCCUACCUUUAGUUGCCAUCAGGUUAAGCUGGGGACUCUAAAGGAACUGCCUACGCAAGUAGUGAGGAAGGCGGGGAUGACGUCAAAUCAGCACGGCCCUUACGUCCAGGGCUACACACGUGCUACAAUGGCCGAUACAGAGGGCAGCUACCUGGUGACAGGAUGCAAAUCUCCAAAGUCGGUCUCAGUUCGGAUCGGAGUCUGCAACCCGACUCCGUGAAGUUGGAUUCGCUAGUAAUCGCGCAUCAGCCAUGGCGCGGUGAAUACGUUCCCGGGCCUU